rnacentral:lncRNA from 1 species
AUGAUCCCAUCAAGGCUUCUGAUGCACUGCCUCUCCCGCUCUAUCUCGCCAACGCGGUCUUCUUUGGGGUUUUCUUCUCCGUCGUCUAUUUCCUCCUGACGCGGUGGCGGGAGAAGAUCCGUACGUCGACCCCUCUCCACGUCGUCACCUUGUCGGAGAUUGCUGCCAUCGUUACCUUUAUGGGUUCGUGUAUUUUUCUUCUGGGGUUCUUUGGGAUCGACUUCGUUCAGGGGUUUAUCGCCCGCCCUGGUCACGAUAAUGAGUGGGAUGCAGAGGAUGAUAUUAUCGUCAAGGAGGACGCUCGCGCCGUCCCCUGCGGCGCCG